rnacentral:rRNA from 1 species
GUGGGGAAUAUUGGACAAUGGGCGAAAGCCUGAUCCAGCCAUGCCGCGUGUGUGAAGAAGGUCUUCGGAUUGUAAAGCACUUUAAGUUGGGAGGAAGGGCAGUAAGUUAAUACCUUGCUGUUUUGACGUUACCGACAGAAUAAGCACCGGCUAACUUCGUGCCAGCAGCCGCGGUAAUACGAAGGGUGCAAGCGUUAAUCGGAAUUACUGGGCGUAAAGCGCGAGUAGGUGGUUUUGUAAGUUGGAGGUGAAAUCCCCGGGCUCAACCUUGGAACUGCCUCCAAAACUGCAUGACUAGAGUACGGGAGAGGGUAGUGGAAUUUCCUGUGUAGCGGUGAAAUGCGUAGAUAGAGGAAGGAACACCAGUGGCGAAGGCGACUACCUGGACUGAUACUGACACUGAGGUGCGAAAGCGUGGGGAGCAAACAGGAUUAGAAACCCUGGUAGUCC